rnacentral:rRNA from 1 species
AUACGGAGGAUGCAAGCGUUAUCCGGAUUUAUUGGGUUUAAAGGGUGCGUAGGCGGAUGAUUAAGCGUGAGGUGAAAUGCCACUGCUCAACAGUGGAACUGCCUCGCGAACUGGUUGUCUUGAAUGCUCCUGCCGUGGGUGGAAUGUGUGGUGUAGCGGUGAAAUGCAUAGAGAUCACACAGAACACCGAUUGCGAAGGCAUCUCACGAAGGGGUGAUUGACGCUGAGGCACGAAAGCGUGGAGAUCAAACAGGAUUAGAUACCCUGGUAGUCCACGCAGUAAACGAUGAUGACUAACCGUCGGCGAUACACAGUCGGUGGCCAAGCGAAAGCGAUAAGUCAUCCACCUGGGGAGUACGACCGCAAGGUUGAAACUCAAAUGAAUUGACGGGG